rnacentral:rRNA from 1 species
GACGAACGCUGGCGGCGUGCUUAACACAUGCAAGUCGAACGGUAAGGCUCCAGCUUGCUGGGGUACACGAGUGGCGAACGGGUGAGUAACACGUGGGUGACCUGCCCUGCACUUCGGGAUAAGCCUGGGAAACUGGGUCUAAUACCGGAUAGGACCGCACCGUGAGGGUGUGGUGGAAAGUUUUUUCGGUGUGGGAUGGGCCCGCGGCCUAUCAGCUUGUUGGUGGGGUAAUGGCCUACCAAGGCGGCGACGGGUAGCCGGCCUGAGAGGGUGGACGGCCACAUUGGGACUGAGACACGGCCCAGACUCCUACGGGAGGCAGCAGUGGGGAAUAUUGCACAAUGGGCGGAAGCCUGACGCAGCGACGCCGCGUGGGGGAUGACGGCCUUCGGGUUGUAAACUCCUUUCACCAUCGACGAAGGGUUUCUGACGGUAGAUGGAGAAGAAGCACCGGCUAACUACGUGCCAGCAGCCGCGGUAAUACGUAGGGUGCGAGCGUUGUCCGGAAUUACUGGGCGUAAAGAGCUCGUAGGUGGUUUGUCGCGUCGUCUGUGAAAUUCCGGGGCUUAACUCCGGGCGUGCAGGCGAUACGGGCAUAACUUGAGUACUGUAGGGGAGACUGGAAUUCCUGGUGUAGCGGUGAAAUGCGCAGAUAUCAGGAGGAACACCGGUGGCGAAGGCGGGUCUCUGGGCAGUAACUGACGCUGAGGAGCGAAAGCAUGGGGAGCGAACAGGAUUAGAUACCCUGGUAGUCCAUGCCGUAAACGGUGGGCGCUAGGUGUGGGUUUCCUUCCACGGGAUCCGUGCCGUAGCUAACGCAUUAAGCGCCCCGCCUGGGGAGUACGGCCGCAAGGCUAAAACUCAAAGGAAUUGACGGGGGCCCGCACAAGCGGCGGAGCAUGUGGAUUAAUUCGAUGCAACGCGAAGAACCUUACCUGGGCUUGACAUAUACAGGAUCGCGCCAGAGAUGGUGUUUCCCUUGUGGCUUGUAUACAGGUGGUGCAUGGUUGUCGUCAGCUCGUGUCGUGAGAUGUUGGGUUAAGUCCCGCAACGAGCGCAACCCUUGUCUUAUGUUGCCAGCACGUUGUGGUGGGGACUCGUAAGAAACUGCCGGGGUUAACUCGGAGGAAGGUGGGGAUGACGUCAAAUCAUCAUGCCCCUUAUGUCCAGGGCUUCACACAUGCUACAAUGGUCGGUACAGUGGGUUGCCAGUCCGUGAGGGCGAGCUAAUCCCGCAAAGCCGGUCUCAGUUCGGAUCGGGGUCUGCAACUCGACCCCGUGAAGUCGGAGUCGCUAGUAAUCGCAGAUCAGCAACGCUGCGGUGAAUACGUUCCCGGGCC